UUUGGAUUUGUUUUUUCUAUUUUUUUAUGUUUUUGUGAUUUGAUCAAUGGAUGGGAUGCACAUUCUACUCUUUAUUAUGAGGGAGGAAUAUACAAAGAGGAGCACAGGUAGUUAAAACCUUUAAAAAUUUAUCUUAAUUUCCUCUAUUUUCUUUCUAAAACCAUAGUUUUGAUAAAUAGGGGGGAUAUUUCGUAACGGAGGG
rnacentral:lncRNA from 1 species